UGCCAGCAGCCGCGGUAAUACGGAGGGGGCAAGCGUUGUUCGGAAUUACUGGGCGUAAAGGGCGCGUAGGCGGAAUGUCAAGUUAGGGGUGAAAGGCCUGGGCUCAACCUAGGAACUGCCUCUAAAACUGAUGAUCUAGAGUUCGGAAGAGGAUGGUGGAAUUCCCAGUGUAGAGGUGAAAUUCGUAGAUAUUCGGAGGAACACCAGUGGCGAAGGCGGCUCACUGGCUCGAUACUGACGCUGAGGUACGAAAGUGUGGGGAGCAAACAGGAUUAGAUA
rnacentral:rRNA from 1 species